GACAGAGGUGCCGAGCGUUAGGCGGAAUCACUGGGCUUAAAGCGUGUGUAGGCGGACUUCUAAGUACCUUGUGAAAUCCCACGCUCAACCGUCGGAACUGCUUGGUAUACUGGUUGUCUUGAGCCACUUAGGGGCAGUCGGAACAGACGGUGGAGCGGUGAAAUGCGUAGAUAUCGUUUGGAACGCCAAUGGUGAAAACAGCUCGCUGGGGAUGACACCGACGCUGAGACACGAAAGCCAGGGAGCGAACGGG
rnacentral:rRNA from 1 species